rnacentral:lncRNA from 1 species
CGAAAGCGAGCAAAGAAGGCCAAGCAGGCAUUCGAACAGAUCAAGAAGGAGCGCUUUGACCGCUUCAAUGCUUGUUUUGAAUCUGUGGCUACCAACAUUGAUGAGAUCUAUAAGGCCCUGUCCCGCAAUAGCAGUGCCCAGGCAUUCCUGGGCCCUGAGAACCCUGAAGAGCCCUACUUGGAUGGCAUCAACUACAACUGUGUGGCUCCUGGGAAACGCUUCCGGCCUAUGGACAACUUGUCAGGCGGGGAGAAGACAGUGGCAGCUCUGGCCCUGCUCUUUGCCAUCCACAGGUAAGGCUGAUCCCCUAGGGCAGUUGACGAAGAGACUGAACUGAGGCCACCAGAGGCUCUGGGGCCCAAGGAUACACAGAGAUCUGCGAAGGUGAUGGUUUGGUGGAAUCUGGAUUGCAUCCCUGUUUCACUAUCUACUGCAGCAUAUCUGGCUUUGGUUUUUCUGGACCUGUCUUCCCCAUCCACCCUCAUCUGCUCAGCAUGUCCUCACCGGCCUCUGCAUGUAUUUAGUUCCGCCUCCAGGCUUUUGCUCACGAGGUUGCUGGCUAAUAAUCCCUUUCCAUGUAAAUCUAGCUUGAUCAUCACCUUUCACCCCUUCACCCUUCCUCAUUCUCCUCCCCUUUAGGAAGCCCUCCUUGAUCACUGUGGCAUACCCUGACCUUCCCCUCCUGAAUGCCAGUAGUACUUGAGUCUGACUCCCGCAGCUUAUAUUGCUUGAUUGUACAGCAUCAAUUUCUUGAGUGCUGCUCUGUACCAGACCCUGCGGAGGGAUUAGGGACACAGAUGUAUCAGACAGGGUCUCUGGCCUCGAGGAGCUCACAGUCUAGUAGAAG